GUUAGGGGCAAUAAGACAGUUCAUUGCCACCGCUCUGCUGGAAGAUCUGGGAUAGAAUGUUGUCUGGAAGCUUCGAGGGGAGCUCCUUGGCUCAGCUCCUCUGGCUCCUGGUGUUUUCCAUUCAAGAUUCCAGGGGACAAAUUAUAAUGACUCAAUCUCCAGAGACUGUGGCAGUGUCAGUAGGAGACAGUGUCAUUCUCCACUGCAGAACCAUCUUUGAGAUGGGUACCUCCAUGGCAUGGUACCAGCAGAAACCUGGACAAGCUCCCAAGCUCCUUAUCUUUGGUGCUUCUGCAUUGGCUUCUGGGGCCCCAGCCCGAUUCCAAGGAGGUGGCUCCGGUCUGCACUUCACCUUGACCAUCCGUGCAGUAGAAGCUGAAGAUGCUGGAGUUUAUCACUGUCAGCAGCACUACAUCCGCCCUCCCACAGUGACACAGACCCAAACGGAAACCUCCUUGCCAAGCUCAGAGCCUCUUGCUCUUAUGACAUGA